rnacentral:pre_miRNA from 13 species
CAAUCGGAGAUGGACUGGGUCUGUGCUGGUUUCUGUUGCGGUAAUAAUCAAAAGUCACGAUCAUAACCGGACUGGAACCGGCACAAACCUGAUCCCUCUCU